GGGAGUAUAGCUCAGUGGUAGAGCACGUCCUCAGCAUGCAUGAGGUCCUGGGUUCAAUCCCCAGUAAUUCCA
rfam:Camelus ferus unplaced genomic scaffold scaffold319, whole genome shotgun sequence.